rnacentral:rRNA from 1 species
UACGGAGGGGACUAGCGUUGUUCGGAAUUACUGGGCGUAAAGCGCACGUAGGCGGAUUUGUAAGUCAGGGGUGAAAUCCCGGGGCUCAACCUCGGAACUGCCUUUGAUACUGCAAAUCUCGAGUCCGGAAGAGGUGAGUGGAAUUCCUAGUGUAGAGGUGAAAUUCGUAGAUAUUAGGAAGAACACCAGUGGCGAAGGCGGCUCACUGGCCGGUACUGACGCUGAGGUGGCGAAAGCGUGGGGAGCAACAGG